rnacentral:rRNA from 1 species
AACGAACGCUGGCGGCAGGCCUAACACAUGCAAGUCGAGCGGACCCUUCGGGGUUAGCGGCGGACGGGUGAGUAACGCGUGGGAAUAUGCCCUUCUCUACGGAAUAGUCCUGGGAAACUGGGGGUAAUACCGUAUACGCCCUUUGUGGGAAAGAUUUAUCGGGGAAGGAUUAGCCCGCGUUGGAUUAGGUAGUUGGUGGGGUAAUGGCCUACCAAGCCGACGAUCCAUAGCUGGUUUGAGAGGAUGAUCAGCCACACUGGGACUGAGACACGGCCCAGACUCCUACGGGAGGCAGCAGUGGGGAAUCUUAGACAAUGGGGGCAACCCUGAUCGAGCCAUGCCGCGUGAGUGAUGAAGGCCUUAGGGUUGUAAAGCUCUUUCAGCUGGGAAGAUAAUGACGGUACCAGCAGAAGAAGCCCCGGCUAACUCCGUG